rnacentral:rRNA from 1 species
UACGUAGGUGGCAAGCGUUGUCCGGAUUUAUUGGGCGUAAAGCGCGCGCAGGCGGUUCGGUAAGUCUCUGGUGAAAGCGCUCGGCUUCACUGGGCGAGGGCCGGGGAGACUGCCACGCUGGAGGGGAGCAGAGGCGAGUGGAAUUCCGGGUGUAGUGGUGAAAUGCGUAGAGAUCCGGAGGAACACCAGUGGCGAAGGCGGCUCGCUGGGCUCUGCCUGACGCUGAGGAGCGAAAGCGUGGGGAGCGAACAGG